GGAUUGGAGUUUGAAAAACAGUCCAGGAUACUUGUCGUUCACAAGAAUCAAAUGAGGAAUUUCCGACCGGAGAAAGUAAGAGCGGUGAAAGAUGGUGCCUUUCAAGCCCUUCAAGGAAGCCGAAAAAUGAUAAAAUGGAACGUCAGGGUUAACAGAGCGAAGCGAAAACAAACGGACCCGAAAAUUAGUUUGAGGUCAACAAUCAAGAAAGAAAUUGAAAAGUCUUUAUAUUGUAAUGCUUAGGUAUUAAGUGAGAAAGGUGAGAUGUGCUUGAUAGCCUGGAGUCUACGGAGUGAGGUGGAAGUUAUAGGCGCUGUUUGCUCAAGCGCUCGUAAUUACAACAAUUGUAAACCGAUGAAAUUCAACUCUUGAGAGAAAAGCACGAAAGAGAAGAAUUUGUUUUCUUACGAGGGACUUUGGAAGAAAAGCGAGUUAAAGGAACAAGUUUCAUCGCCAAUGAUGACAAAGUAUUCCAAACGUUUAUAAAACUCUGGCGGCCGACGAAAACACUCUUCCUCCAAAGUCUACCAAUCCAAUUUUAAUGCCCAAAAACAAG